UCCGGUGGCGAUAGCGAGAAGGUCACACCCGUUCCAUACCGAACACGGAAGUUAAGCUUCUCAGCG
rnacentral:rRNA from 1 species